UACGAAGGGGGCUAGCGUUGCUCGGAAUCACUGGGCGUAAAGCGCACGUAGGCGGAUCGCUAAGUCAGGGGUGAAAUCCUGGAGCUCAACUCCAGAACCGCCUUUGAUACUGGCAAUCUCGAGUCCGGAAGAGGUGAGUGGAAUUCCUAGUGUAGAGGUGAAAUUCGUAGAUAUUAGGAAGAACACCAGUGGCGAAGGCGGCUCACUGGUCCGGUACUGACGCUGAGGCGCGAAAGCGUGGGGAGCAAACAGG
rnacentral:rRNA from 1 species